UGAAAGUAUUAGUUUAUAUCAGAGACUCGAAACAGCAAUCUCACAUUAACUGCACAUCCUCUAAAUGAUGUUCUUUAUAAGAAUUUGAAGGUUACUGAAUGAUUGGUUCAUUUAGGUGUCUCAGUCCCAAUUACUGGUUUCUUUGACACAACAGUAUGCUGCCUGUGUUGUAAGCAUCCUCCUGACGUGCAAAAAUUACAUAGAAAAAAAAUGUACGGUGAGUGAAUCAAUGGCAGCAAAUAGAAUAUUGCUGUGAAAGUGGUGCCAAAGCUUGUAAAAUAGUUAAGUUCAUGAACAGAGAUGAUGCUGUGUUUGGCUACAGUGCUGAAGGAUGGGAGAUCUGAUUGAAGUCUCAUCUUUGCUCUGAUAUUGGCACUGAAGACAGUCAGCUUAACCUGCUGACAGUAGAAUAGCCACACUCCAAUAUGAACUGGUAAAGGGAGCUUUGAAGAGCUCUAGCGAAGAAUGUUGUCAACAGAGAAAACUUCAAUGAAGAUUUCUUCCCUGCUUAUUUCUUAUCUCUUCUCUAGCUGAAGAGAGUGUGUGCUGGAAGUCAUUUUAAAGGCAAGUCUCUCAUUUUCAGACAACUCAGUUGCUAUUUCUGUAUUGCUACCUAGGGUACAAUGUAAAAAUAUUGACGGUAAUGUAAGAGAUUGCUGGCUUGCUACAGCAGUCAGGAGGAUUCCACAAAUUUCUAUCAUCCCAGUGGUAUACUGGAGAUAACUUCUAUAAGUUCAGUAAUGCAUCUGUGAUUAUUCAUCUCCUUGCCUCUCAAUUAACCAGUACUGUACAUAUUGUUCCCUGUCAAAUAUCUUAUUUUGUCAGGUGCCAGAGAGCAGAGUUGUUCUCUUUUCAAAUUGCUGGUUUGAUUUCUGGCAGUACUUGAUUGCUUUAAAAUGUGCUUUCUACAUCCAUUUUCCUCAAUACUUAAUUAACUGCAGAAAAAGACUGAAAUGAGGUUUCAUUUAAGUAAAUGUUUCAUUUUUGUUGCCUCUAACCCAUUCAUUUUUUUCCUUUAGCUCACUAAAGUAGUCUCAGAGAUCUUAUCUUUCAUUUGCAAGAAAUUUUGCACUCAGGUUUAACUCUCUUUAGCUAAAUCCCCCUGAAGAAUGCAUCCAGUGUUAUGACAAAGCACAGAAGCAAGGCCACAGCAGAAGUGAUGAAAAGCCAACUAAAAUCAAGCCAUCUCAUUUUGUUCUGUGGAAGGCGACUGGGGGAAUUCAUGACGGAAAAGGGACUCUAAGAGCUGUCAUGUAGAAGGAAAAAAGGACGGGUGGAAUUAGAAGCUCAGCAGAUUCUGAAUCUAAUCUUGAAGCUUGCUGACCUAUAACUAAAGCAUGACCUGGAGAACAGAUUGUGCUUGAUUUCAGUGACUAAUCAAAGUUGUCAGCUAUACAGAUGUGAAGGAGAAAACACAGGAUAUCACACUUUGUGAUAGGAUGUAGUUAAAAUCCACUGCUGCAUGCGAACUCAUUCUUCUGGAAGGAAUCGAGUUCCUUCAAUCUCCUAUUAAACUAUUCUCAGCUCUACCUGUAAGGCAAUCAGUCUUGCAGGUGUUGACCUUAAAAAUAAGCUCAGCAUCCUUUUGUCAGAUGGAAAUUAUGAAUCUUCUCAAAAUGAGGUGCUGUUACUGAUUUUUUUUUUCCACAAAGCUCACUUAAAAUUACCUAAAUUUCAGUUCAGAUUUUUUCUCACUUUUGCUAUCUACUGACUGUCAGCCAGAUCAGCAUCCAAACAGAUACCAAAACACUGCUUAUCAACUAAUCACAUCACUGUGAAAGACAAAAUAACCUUCCAUGUUCUAAUUAUUUUAUAAUGCCGUUGAUUAUUAUUUAUUCGGUGUGCAAAACAUAGUGUAACUCCCCCGUGCCUACUGUUGGAGAAAGUGCAAUGCUAAAAGUCAGCUCUGCAAAUUUACAAAAACAAAUAAGCAAAGGUAGCCCAUUUAAAUGCUACACUACUGACAGUUACUUAAAAUGCUCCCACUUGAAUCUGCUGUGCAUCAGUGUGAGUUUUAGAAGGCAAAGUCCAUACCCCUGACUAUAUGAGCUCUUCUUGAAUAUAAGAACAAUUGAAAUGCCUUCUUAAAGUCAGAACCAGGGCAAUGAGUCACUGGAACAGAUUGCCCAAAAGAGUUGUGGAUGCGCUGGAGUUAUUCAAGUUCAGGCUGGAUAGAGCCCUGGGCAGCCUCAUCUGGUGGAAGGCAGCUCUCCCCACAUCAGGGCAUUGGAACUGGAUGGUCUUUAAGGUCCUUUCCAGCCAAAACUGUCCUGUGAUUUUAUAAUUCUAUGAAGAACUCAAGCACAAAAAUCCCUCUCAAGGCUGGAAUUAGCAGUCUCACUCCCCGCAUGGGGAGAAGCGUGGGAUGAGUGCUUUUUAAAUGAGUGCUGCAACUUCAAUGUAUAGUGUCUCCUUCUUAUUACCUUGUGCUGAGAAACAAAUUCAAAACGUGGAGAGCAAAACACUUUUGUUCACAAGGUGUGGUGUUGGACUGGGGCCUCCCCAGUCUGGGGUAGGCAUUGAAAUCUGUCUCCCCUAUUUCAUGGGGAAUGCUUCAACCACUCUAGUAUGAUAGCCAAGACCCCAGUAAUGUCAUCAUCUUUGUGAAUGACUCUAAAAGGAACACAGUGUAUUUUCAG
ensembl:lncRNA